UUCGCCCUUUUCGUGCAAUUUUUUACCUGUUCAACAAACUUAUGGAAAGAAUCAAGCCAUUCGCCAUAUUAGAAGUCAGUGUGCCAUCAAAAUGAUUUUGAAACUGAUAUUUUAAGGUAAACUUACAUACAGUUGCUUAAUGAGAAGUUUUGAUACACAAAAGCUGAAACACGUACGCAGUGAACUGACUGCACAGGCAUGAAAGUAUUAUAGACGCAUUCCAUGGAAAAGGCUUUUCCAAAAGGUGUGGGAUGUGUAGAAAGCAGGAAACAGGGAGUUAUUACAUGAUCUGAAUGGGUUAAAGAAGGUGACAGAGCACAAGUGUUACAUUACUCAAGGUCAUCACUGGAUUUACCAGUUUGCCAAGUUUUCCAGGCAGGGACACAGUGUAGACAUCUCCACCUGAGCCACUGCAGAGUAUUGUGGGUAACCAUCUUCUCCAUCACCAA